UAGCGUGUGGAUGCUUAUUGGAGCCAUGUUGUUGUUAAUGUCGAAACACGAUGUGAGGAUUAGCUGAACUUUUUAGCCGUAAUGUAAGUUAUUUAUUGAGUUUUUCCUCAUCGUUCAGAUGUGAACGAAGGUAGCAGCGCGCGCAGCGGCUCUGCUAGCACGUGGCGGGCUCGCGCCGUGCUAAUACAAGAUGGCGAAGCAGGAGCCGAUUCACUCCUGCUACCAAUGAAAUCAUAAAAUAGUCGGCGGCUCUGAAGACUGUUUUCAUCCUGCAGUAGUUGAACAAAUGUGGUUUGUGUCGACGCCCGGCUGUUCAGCAGAGGGGGCCCCCUCCUGCAGGUGAUCCACACUGAUGAACGGUUUUGGUUUCCAUCUGUGUCCUGAAAAUAAACCGGGACUGAAGAUCCAGAGGUCAAAUCAUCCGACUGAACUGACUCGCUGUUGAUGAUGAUAUAUAUUUUUCUUCUGUGGAAAAAAACAAACAUAUUUACAAAAAUCUUAAAUAAAGGCUUUAC